UACAGAGGUCCCAAGCGUUGUUCGGAUUCACUGGGCGUAAAGGGUGCGUAGGUGGUCAGGUAAGUCUGAUGUGAAAUCUCUGGGCUCAACCCAGAAACUGCAUUGGAUACUAUCUGGCUAGAGGAGUGGAGGGGGGACUGGAAUACUUGGUGUAGCAGUGAAAUGCGUAGAUAUCAAGUGGAACACCAGUGGCGAAGGCGAGUCCCUGGACACUUCCUGACACUGAGGCGCGAAAGCUAGGGGAGCAAACAGG
rnacentral:rRNA from 1 species